rnacentral:rRNA from 1 species
CCUACGGGAGGCAGCAGUCGAGAAUCAUUCACAAUGGGGGAAACCCUGAUGGUGCGACGCCGCGUGGGGGAAUGAAGGUCUUCGGAUUGUAAACCCCUGUCAUGUGGGAGCAAAUUAAAAAGAUAGUACCACAAGAGGAAGAGACGGCUAACUCUGUGCCAGCAGCCGCGGUAAUACAGAGGUCUCAAGCGUUGUUCGGAAUCACUGGGCGUAAAGCGUGCGUAGGCUGUUUCGUAAGUCGUGUGUGAAAGGUGCGGGCUCAACCCGCGGACGGCACAUGAUACUGCGAGACUAGAGUAAUGGAGGGGGAACCGGAAGUCUCGGUGUAGCAGUGAAAUGCGUAGAUAUCGAGAGGAACACUCGUGGCGAAGGCGGGUUCCUGGACAUUAACUGACGCUGAGGCACGAAGGCCAGGGGAGCGAAAGGGAUUAGAUACCCUUGUAGUC